rfam:Cucumis melo, WGS project CAJI01000000 data, contig: 04661
GGGAUUGUAGUUCAAUUUGUCAGAGCACCACCCUGUAAAGGCAGAAGCUGCGGGUUCGAGCCCCAUCAGUCCUG